UGCCAGCAGCCGCGGUAAAACGUAGGAGGCGAGCGUUAUCCGGAUUUACUGGGCGUAAAGCGCGUGCAGGCGGUCCUGUAAGUCGUGCGUGAAAGCUCCCUGGCUUAACCGGGAGAGGUCGUGCGAUACUGCAGAACUAGAGACAGGUAGAGGCAAGCAGAAUUCCAGGUGUAGUGGUGAAAUGCGUAGAUAUCUGGAGGAAUACCAGUGGCGAAGGCGGCUUGCUAGACCUUGUCUGACGCUCAGACGCGAAAGCAUGGGGAGCGAACGGGAUUAGAUA
rnacentral:rRNA from 1 species